CAGCAAGAGGUCUGUUGUUGAGUCCAAUCAGUCAGACCUCAGCAAGAACUUGAAGAUUAACCAGAGCAUUAAAGGUGUUUAAUGUAAAUCCGGCCUUACAGUGAUGCCUUUCAUGGGGAAUCAAUGACCAGGCCUGACGGAGGAGAAUUGGAGACGUGUCUGGAAGUGUCUGCGGCAGCCUCGUGACCCGAGCAGGCGGGGUACUUCCCGAUUCAGGCUGCCGAGCAGGACUGGAGAUGUGCGGUUCAGGACAACCAAAGAGGCGAUGUCCGCAGCAGAGCGCCCCGUCAUUCAAAUGGAGUGCAAGACCGCGUCCCUGUUUUUGCACCCGGGGUUGCCAUGACGACUUACCGCCAAUGGUAGACACGUGUGACACUGGUAGGAGAGACUGACGCAAGGCACCAACGUCAUGGGUCACCCAAUCAUAGAAACAGAGCAUCUUGCCCCCUGGAGCCGACUGCGGUGUAAGCAAGUGGGUCGAGAAACUUUCGGAACACAGAACCGGCCGUAAGAAUCAAAAAACCACCCAUCACCCGCUCUCACGUCUGAUGUGUGCCAUGACAGCAGAGUGACCUUUAUCGACCAAAAAAGCCAUUUCCCAUUAUAGCCAAACUUCAAAGGGGCACCUUCCCGAAAGUUCACCGAAGAGAGAACAAGAGCAGUCAGUAUCAACAGGUGACUUUCCAGGUCUGCUCUGAUAACCGUCACACCCUGAGCUUCUGAGCUGCUGUGUUUCGGCGCGAACCUCGAACAUCUCGGAAGCUGUCGUCCUCGGCCCGACUCGACAGGCAGCUCGGAGCUUGUUGUACAUUUCAUAUCCUCUGGCGCUCCUGCGGUGAAUGAGCUGUCUUGUGACAUCUGUGAUCGGAAAGACAUCACCUUAAAGGUGAGAAGAUAACAGUGUUUUUACAGCAGCCCUUAUCUGGCUGGAACAAAACAGCAGGUGAAACAAGGGAGGAAUUCAACGUCAGGACCAAAACAAAUAGAUCUUCAAAAACAUACAUAGGAAAUUAGUCUUUUUUUUGGUUCUAAAAACAGCAGCUACACAUACACAGGUCAAUGUGUGAGUGUCAGCAAGUAGUAGAGGUACAGUACGUGCGUGUGUACUGUGAAUGUGAAUGUACGAUGUGUUUGUGUGUGUAUUUCUUCGUGUUUAUGUAUAUGUGUUUUUUGUGUUGUAGGUUAUACGCAGUAUAUUCGCUUAUAGCUUGUGUGUGUCUAAAUGUGCGUAUGAGUAUCUACACAAGCAUUUCUGGUUGACUGUGUAUGAGAGUGUGUUUGCUGAUGCAAGUUUCCGUGUUCUGUAAGUGUGUUUCUGGGACUCCUUCUGGGGAUUUGGUACCAUUUACACCACUGUAUCGCUACAGCUUGGUGUCCGGGCCCAGAGCGAGGGCAGAAGGGGGAGGGCAGUCUAGCGGUCAACGUAUCAUCGCACCCCCGCAUGGCCAUGUCACGUGUUGUGUCAUCAUGGGUGUCGACACAAAUGGGCUGGUUUCCUGCGUGGGCAGAGAGCAGCGUUAGCGCAACCCCAAUUUGGUGCACUUAGCACAACCAUGAGCUAAUUACCAUGAGCCAAUUUAGCCACCGAAGCAGUGCC